GACACUUUGGCCGAGUGGUUAAGGCGAUGCCCUGCUAUUAUGUCAGGCAUUGGAGUUUCUCCGCGUGUGUUCGAAUCGCACAGGUGUCG